GAUGAACGCUGGCGGCGUGCCUAAUACAUGCAAGUCGAGCGAACAGACGAGAGUGCUUGCACUCUCUGACGUUAGCGGCGGACGGGUGAGUAACACGUGGGUAACCUACCUAUAAGAUUGGGAUAACUUCGGGAAACCGGAGCUAAUACCGGAUAAUAUUUAGCUUCGCAUGAAGCAAUAGUGAAAGACGGUUCUGCUGUCACUUAUAGAUGGACCCGCGGUGUAUUAGCUAGUUGGUGAGGUAACGGCUCACCAAGGCAACGAUACAUAGCCGACCUGAGAGGGUGAUCGGCCACACUGGGACUGAGACACGGCCCAGACUCCUACGGGAGGCAGCAGUAGGGAAUCUUCCGCAAUGGACGAAAGUCUGACGGAGCAAUGCCGCGUGAGUGAAGAAGGUUUUCGGAUCGUAAAACUCUGUUGUAAGGGAAGAACAAGUACGUUAGUAACUGAACGUACCUUGACGGUACCUUACCAGAAAGCCACGGCUAACUACGUG
rnacentral:rRNA from 1 species